rnacentral:tRNA from 1 species
GGGCCGCUCAACGGCGGGGAGGCGGCUGAAUAGGAACUCGAGCCAGCGGUCGGUUGGUCGCGUGUUCGAAUCACGCCGAGCCCACCA